UGACGAGUCCCAAAUAGGACGAAACUCGCGUC
rnacentral:hammerhead_ribozyme from 1 species